UAGGUGAUUCUCCCUGCCACAACCUGAC
rnacentral:piRNA from 1 species